rnacentral:rRNA from 1 species
AGAGUUUGAUCCUGGCUCAGGACGAACGCUGGCGGCAGGCUUAACACAUGCAAGUCGAACGAACUCUUCGGAGUGAGUGGCAGGCGGGUGCGUAACACGUGGGAACCUACCUUAAGGUACGGAACAACACCGAGAAAUUGGUGCUAAUACCGUAUGUGCCCUUCGGGGGAAAGAUUUAUCGCCUUAAGAUGGGCCCGCGGCAGAUUAGAUAGUUGGUGGGGUAAUGGCCUACCAAGUCGACGAUCUGUAGCUGGUCUGAGAGGAUGAUCAGCCACACUGGAACUGAGACACGGUCCAGACUCCUACGGGAGGCAGCAGUGGGGAAUAUUGGGCAAUGGGCGAAAGCCUGACCCAGCCAUGCCGCGUGAGUGAUGAAGGCCUUAGGGUUGUAAAACUCUUUCGCUAGUGAAGAUAAUGACGGUAACUAGUAAAGAAGCCCCGGCUAAUUUCGUGCCAGCAGCCGCGGUAAUACGAAAGGGGCUAGCGUUGUUCGGAAUUACUGGGCGUAAAGCGCGCGUAGGCGGACUAUCAAGUUGGGGGUGAAAUCCCGGGGCUCAACCUCGGAACUGCCUCCAAAACUGUUAGUCUAGAGGAUGUGAGAGGAUAGUGGAAUUCCGAGUGUAGAGGUGAAAUUCGUAGAUAUUCGGAAGAACACCAGUGGCGAAGGCGACUGUCUGGCACAUUUCUGACGCUGAGGUGCGAAAGCGUGGGGAGCGAACAGGAUUAGAUACCCUGGUAGUCCACGCCGUAAACGAUGAGGGCCAGUUGUCGGGCAGCAUGCUGUUCGGUGACGCAGUUAACGCAUUAAGCCCUCCGCCUGGGGAGUACGGUCGCAAGAUUAAAAACUCAAAGGAAUUGACGGGGGCCCGCACAAGCGGUGGAGCAUGUGGUUUAAUUCGAAGGAACGCGCAGAACCUUACCAGCUCUUGACAUCCCGAUCGCGGUUUCCAGAGAUGGAUUCCUUCAUUUAGUUGGAUCAGUGACAGGUGUUGCAUGGCUGUCGUCAGCUCGUGUCGUGAGAUGUUGGGUUAAGUCCCGCAACGAGCGCAACCCUCGCUGCCAGUUGCCAGCAUUUAGUUGGGCACUCUGGCGGGACCGCCGGUGAUAAGCCGGAGGAAGGUGGGGACGACGUCAAAUCAUCAUGGCCCUUACGGGUUGGGCUACACACGUGCUACAAUGGCGACCAUAAUGGGUUAAUCCCCAAAAGUCGUCUCAGUUCGGAUUGUCCUCUGCAACUCGAGGACAUGAAGUCGGAAUCGCUAGUAAUCGUGGAUCAGCAUGCCACGGUGAAUACGUUCCCGGGCCUUGUACACACCGCCCGUCACACCAUGGGAGUUGGUUCUACCCGACGACGCUGCGCUAACUUCGGAGGCAGGCGGCCACGGUAGGAUCAGCGACUGGGGUGAAGUCGUAACAAGGUAGCCGUA